ensembl:snoRNA
CCCGCCACUACACCAGUCUGCCAGGGUGACUGGGGGUGCUCCAGUGGAGGCCGAGACUGACCCGGCUUUAGGAAACAGGGCUGCCCGACCCGGUGGGCAUCUCUGUGCCGAAAAGUCUGGAACAUUU